AUGUCUGUUUUUCCAGGGGAAGGACUCAGCUCUCAGCAGAUUUUCAGAAAGAUCUUUGACUUUUACCUUCAAUACAAACUAGUGGAGUUAGAAGAUACCUCAGCAAACUUGACUUCUCUCUCAUUUUGUGGAUGCAAAUACAGAAGCAGAGUGUUUAGACAACACUGCAGCUAAACCACCGGUUUAUGAGUGCUACUGACAAAAGGACUCUCUUGGAGGUAAAUUGUAACAUACCAUUGGUGGGAUACAUAUUUUGGUUGUAUCCUAUAAGUAAGGAGAUGAAGCACAUGGAUUCCUUAAAGAGACUCAGGAUAGUAGGGGAGAAGCACAGAUGUGGUCAAUACCUUGAAGAGUAGAGAAAGCUGUGAAUACAUGGAGGAGGAGAGAGAGAGGAAUGGGAAGGAAGCUUUCAAAGAGGGAGGAAUGUUCCAGGCAAGGAGAAUAGAAUGUGCUAUGAAAGACAGGGAAGUAUUGAAUGGCUGGGUGAAUAUAGAGAGUGGAGGGUGGUCUGUAGAAGUGGAGACUUCCUGACUUCAGAAGAAUGUUUGUUUAGGCUGAGAAAAGAGGUCUUAUAUUUGGCCCCCAUAUAGUAGAAUCUCAUCUCAUAUGAAAUGUUUACAUUUCAGGGUCAACUGAUAAAGCAAAAAAAUGAUCUGUACACUUAACAGUUCCCCAGUAAGGUACAACAAAUCAUCUCUCAACACAGCAGGUUUUUCUUUUGGCAUUGAAUCAGGUCACUGUUGUUGUGUAAAAAGAUGAAGUAUUUGGCUUAUAUUUAGGUACCCUGUUGGUUUUUUAAAAAGUGCUUAUUUUAAAUGCUGAAAUCAUAAUCUCUGCACUGGUGCAAUAUGAAUUAUCCCCAUAGAGGGGAAGAAGGAAUGAAGACCAGCUGAGGAAACUGCAAGUGCUUUGAGGUCCUGUCACAGUGGGCGUGCCCAUUGGCGUGGAUUGACAGGGUGAGCUGCCUGCACUGCUGAAUUCCUCUGUGGGCAGAGAGAGCCGAAGAGCAGAAAUUAUAUGUGUGCAUAUCGAUCGGCUCACUGGACUUCACUAGCUCUCUGAACUCAUUUUCCCAGUCUGCUAAGUGGGCAGGAGACCUCAGUAAGAAUUGAAAUGGAUUCAGUGACCUGUAAAGCACUUAGAGUAAUCAUUGCAUAACAGAGAUCCAAAUGCU
rnacentral:lncRNA from 1 species